rnacentral:lncRNA from 1 species
CUUGGCUCGGGGUCUCCCUAAUCGGAAGCUGAUCAUCUGUCUCUCAAGAUGCAUUAAAGCUUUACUGCAGAAGGAUCCGAGUGUCCUGUGUGGUUCUUGCUGGCGAGACGAUCGUGCAGGACAUCUAGUGCUGAAACCCGGGAACGUGUUGACAUCGCCGGCGCCACGGGAGACCCCUCGGAGGACGGGGCGGAUUCAGAACUGCAGGGUGGUAAGUUUGGAGAGGACGAAGAGAAUCCCCUGUGGAUCCCGGACAGACUCACCCAAAGAGCCCCUUUGGACCCUCAAAAGUCGGAACUCCACCUUCUCCCCUCAAAUUAGUCGGGAGUUCAAUGAGACCUUCCCAGGCUCUUCCUGGAUUUCAUCAACAGUUUCUUAUUUUAAGGAAUGGGUGGGGGUGGGACUUUUGGCACAAUUCUCUACAGUGGUGUGGUGUUUAUGCUUUGGACUGUGUGUAGACUCAAAAACCAAACAAAAAAAAAAGAUAAGGUAGUGGUUGCACAGGCACAUUCCUAGAGAAUGGAAUCUCCCCCGGCAUUUGGUUAAGCAUGUUGAAGCAAUAGGUCGCCGACUGCUCAGCUCCUGCACCUCCGGAGGCUUGACCUAAUUGCACGGAAUAGAGUGAGCAAGGUUCGGCAGGUCAAAAGAGUUGCAAGGCUAAGCACUGCACAGAAAGGGCCUGUGGCUUUUCUUGUGGCUCUUCUGGGAGAUAUGUCAUCUUGCAUGAAGGUUAUAUGUCAUAAUGCCCUUCCCCCAGAAAAAGACAUAAGGACGGGUCUGGGCCUGCUCUGGACACAAAGUCUGGAGUCCUGCUCAAGACAAGCUCUGCAUCCAGUUUUGGGGAGUUGACCUCUAUCUCCACUCUGCAUUUGGCUGGCCUAUAGCCUCUGUGUUUCUAUAUAAUUGUAUAGGGGGAGAUGUGAGGAGCCGCACUCACAUUUGCCAUUACAAGAUGGCGCUGACAUCCGCUGCCGGAUCAAGUAAACAACGUUGGUGCACAUGUGCCAAGUGUUUUUCCACUUGCCUAGUCUUGCCUCUCCCGUGGCGUCAUAUAGGGUGAUGAGUCCUCAACCUAUCCCAGCUGUACACACACUGCUCGGAGCUUAUGAGCCUUUAUAAGGGGACGGGAUUCUUGGCUCCGGAUCUCCCUAAUCGGAAGCUGAUCAUCUGUCUCUCAAGAUGCAUUAAAGCUUUACUGCAG